rnacentral:rRNA from 1 species
CGGGAAUGGAUUAGUGGCGAACGGGUGAGGAACACGUGAAGAAUCUGCCCUCCACUUUGGGAUAACUCCGGGAAACCGGGGCUAAUACCGGAUAAGUCCUAACGGAGAAAGUUUUAAUGCCAAAAGAUGAGCCCGCAUUUGAUUAGCUAGUUGGUGAGGUAAAAGCUCACCAAGGCGAUAAUCAAUAGCUGAUUUGAGAGGAUGAUCAGCCACACUGGGACUGAGAUACGGCCCAGACUCC